rnacentral:rRNA from 1 species
AUUGAACGCUGGCGGCAGGCUUAACACAUGCAAGUCGAGCGGGGUGAUGGUGCUUGCACUAUCACUUAGCGGCGGACGGGUGAGUAAUGCUUAGGAAUCUGCCUAUUAGUGGGGGACAACAUCUCGAAAGGGAUGCUAAUACCGCAUACGUCCUACGGGAGAAAGCAGGGGAUCACUUGUGACCUUGCGCUAAUAGAUGAGCCUAAGUCGGAUUAGCUAGUUGGUGGGGUAAAGGCCUACCAAGGCCACGAUGUGUAGCGGGUCUGAGGGGAUGAUCCGCCACACUGGAAGUGAGACACGGCCCAGACUCCUACGGGAGGCAGCAGUGGGGAAUAUUGGACAAUGGGGGGAACCCGGAUCCAGCCAUGCCGCGUGUGUGAAGAAGGCCUUAUGGUUGUAAAGCACUUUAAGCGAGGAGGAGGCUCUUUUGGUUAAUACCCAAGAUGAGUGGACGUUACUCGCAGAAUAAGCACCGGCUAACUCUGUGCCAGCCGCCGCCGUAA